CGGGAAGUCCUCGUGUUGCAC
rnacentral:rRNA from 1 species